CGAGGAUUGGCGAAGUGAGUGAAGAUGAGAUACAGGAAGCUGGGAAUGAUAGCGACGUCGAUGGGAAUUUGGACUCACAAGCAACUUGGGUGCCUGGAAAACGGCAUGUCGAUGAGGAUGAUGCUUCCAUAUCAUGGAGGAAAAGGAAGAAGCAUUUCUUUAUAUUGAGUCACUCUGGGAAACCCAUAUAUUCCAGAUACGGUGAUGAGCACAAGCUAGCUGGAUUUUCAGCAACAUUGCAAGCCAUUAUUUCCUUCGUGGAGAAUGGGGGGGAUCGUGUCAAAUU
rnacentral:misc_RNA from 1 species